rnacentral:rRNA from 2 species
GCCCCAUAUUCCUACGGGGAGGCAGCAGUAGGGAAUCUUCCCCCAAUGGGCGCAAGCCUGAUGGAGCAACACCGCGUGGAGUGAAGAAGGGUUUCGGCUCGUAAAGCUCUGUUGUUAAAGAAGAACACGUAUGAGAGUAACUGUUCAUACGUUGACGGUAUUUAACCAGAAAGUCACGGCUAACUACGUGCCAGCAGCCGCGGUAAUACGUAGGUGGCAAGCGUUAUCCGGAUUUAUUGGGCGUAAAGAGAGUGCAGGCGGUUUUCUAAGUCUGAUGUGAAAGCCUUCGGCUUAACCGGAGAAGUGCAUCGGAAACUGGAUAACUUGAGUGCAGAAGAGGGUAGUGGAACUCCAUGUGUAGCGGUGGAAUGCGUAGAUAUAUGGAAGAACACCAGUGGCGAAGGCGGCUACCUGGUCUGCAACUGACGCUGAGACUCGAAAGCAUGGGUAGCGAACAGGAUUAGAUACCCUGGUAGUCCAUGCCGUAAACGAUGAGUGCUAGGUGUUGGAGGGUUUCCGCCCUUCAGUGCCGGAGCUAACGCAUUAAGCACUCCGCCUGGGGAGUACGACCGCAAGGUUGAAACUCAAAGGAAUUGACGGGGGCCCGCACAAGCGGUGGAGCAUGUGGUUUAAUUCGAAGCUACGCGAAGAACCUUACCAGGUCUUGACAUCUUGCGCCAACCCUAGAGAUAGGGCGUUUCCUUCGGGAACGCAAUGACAGGUGGUGCAUGGUCGUCGUCAGCUCGUGUCGUGAGAUGUUGGGUUAAGUCCCGCAACGAGCGCAACCCUUGUUACUAGUUGCCAGCAUUAAGUUGGGCACUCUAGUGAGACUGCCGGUGACAAACCGGAGGAAGGUGGGGACGACGUCAGAUCAUCAUGCCCCUUAUGACCUGGGCUACACACGUGCUACAAUGGACGGUACAACGAGUCGCGAACUCGCGAGGGCAAGCAAAUCUCUUAAAACCGUUCUCAGUUCGGACUGCAGGCUGCAACUCGCCUGCACGAAGUCGGAAUCGCUAGUAAUCGCGGAUCAGCAUGCCGCGGUGAAUACGUUCCCGGGCCUUGUACACACCGCCCGUCACACCAUGAGAGUUUGUAACACCCAAAGUCGGUGGGGUA